CCUACGGGAGGCAGCAGUGAGGAAUAUUGGUCAAUGGACGAGAGUCUGAACCAGCCAAGUAGCGUGAAGGAUGACGGCCCUAUGGGUUGUAAACUUCUUUUAGAUGGGAAUAAAAUGUUCCACGUGUGGGAUGUAGUAUAUACAAUAUGAGAAAGGAGCGGCUAAAUCCGUGCCAGCAGCCGCGGUAAUACGGAGGAUGCGAGCGUUAUACGGAUUUAUUGGGGUUAAAGGGAGCGUAGGGGGAUUGUUAAGUCAGCUGUGAAAGUGUGCGGCUCAACCGUAAAAUUGCAGUUGAAACUGGCAGUCUUGAGUACAGUAGAGGUGGGCGGAAUUCGUGGUGUAGCGGUGAAAUGCUUAGAUAUCACGAAGAACUCCGAUUGCGAAGGCAGCUCACUGGACUGCAACUGACACUGAGGCUCGAAAGUGUGGGUAUCAAACAGGAUUAGAUACCCGAGUAGUC
rnacentral:rRNA from 1 species